GACGAACGCUGGCGGCGUGCCUAACACAUGCAAGUCGAACGAGGUCCAAGGAAGCUUGCUUCCUGAAGACCUAGUGGCGAACGGGUGAGUAACACGUGAGAAACCUGCCUCGGAGUGGGGAAUAACUCGGGGAAGCUCGAGCUAAUACCGCAUACCUUCACAUGAUCGCAUGGUCGAGUGAAGAAAGAAUUUCGCUCUGAGAGGGUCUCGCGGCCUAUCAGCUUGUUGGUGGGUAACGGCCUACCAAGGCAACGACGAGUAGCUGGUUUGAGAGAACGAUCAGCCACACUGGGACUGAGACACGGCCCAGACUCCUACGGGAGGCAGCAGUGGGGAAUCUUGCGCAAUGGGCGAAAGCCUGACGCAGCAACGCCGCGUGCGGGAUGACGGCCUUCGUGGUUGUAAACC
rnacentral:rRNA from 1 species